rnacentral:lncRNA from 1 species
GGCAUUCAUGAAACCAUGUCCCUGUUCUUUCUCUGCAGGUGACUGGAUCAGAGUGAUGCCAGGCCCUCUGCAGCCAUUUUGUGUCCAUGAGAAGAGCUAGUCCAGAGACAAAGUGGACAUUCAGAGAAGGACACAAAGGAGCAAAUCCCAAUCCCUAGAGGCAUUCCAUCAGUUCACCCACCCCCUGGGCUUUGCACAAGAUGGAGAUCUGAGGUCUGGGCCUGAAACCACAUGCUUCAACCAUCUGACAGCAUUUACUCCUGCACCAGGUUCCAGAUUCUGGAGAAAAGGGCUCAGAAAAGUCCUCCAUAAGGUCCCUCCUCCGAUAAGACUUCUUCCUGCAGAAUCACAUCUCCAUUAAGAGCAUGCCAGGCAAAUGCUACCAACGAAUGGGAACCAGCACACUAGGUUAAACACAUUAUACAGGGGAUGACCCAUGAUGUAAAGCUGAGUGGAAGGAAGCCCAAUAGUAAGUACAGCACAAAAUAGUUCUUAAAAGGAGAAACUAAGCAUGCUGGUGCAAAUGAUAAAUGUAGGAAAGUGACAUCUCCUAGGGGUGUGUGUGUGUGUGUGUGUGUGUGUGUGGUUGGGAUUGCAAUGUUCCUUUUCUCUUUUGUGUUGCCUCUGCACUGAGUGGCUACUCAUUUGAUGCAUAUGCUCAUUGAGCAUCUAUUAUGUGCCAGUCCUCUAUUAGGGAUGCAAGGAUGAUCAAGAUUAAUG